CGAUACCCUGAUGGCCAAUUUCCCUAAAUUCUUUCUACGCUUUUUCCUUCAAACUGCCUCCUUAAAGCUGAAUUUGUAAAAACUUUUCAGUUGCUAUUAAUUCGUGUCAUGCCACUCGAUCAAGUUUUCGUCGGACUUCUGCGCAAUCGCAGUUGGGUCAAUAUACUGCUGAUGCGCUCCCUAAAUCUUUACCAGCUGAAUACUCUCGACCGCAAUCCCACUGAGGUGAUUGAGGUUAGUACGAAUGGAUUCAGCUGGAACGAACAGAACCUGGAGUACCGCGUCGAGCUGGACAAGUUCUUCGAGAUCGGCGUCAAGACGGACGAGGGAGAACCUCUUUUCGCACAGGGCGAGAUGCAGGCGAACAAUGUGAUCUUUGGCGCGGCACUGCGUCGCCUCAACCACCGGAUGAUGGCCCCCGAAAUCGAGCUGGGUGAACUGCGCAUCCAUAUUAAGCCGUCCAUAAGCUGUUCCAUUCAUUGCAGCAACUGUUCCAACGAGGUAAUUACUUCCAGGGACUUCGCCCAGGUUAAGCCGGUGCCGAUAACCACGAUGAAGCCUCAGAACUACUUCUGCGGUCGAUGCAAGGUACCGAUAUAUCCCAGGGAGGAUCAGCUGUUCUAUGGACUUAACUACCUGGUUGUGAAUCCGAAGGUGAUCGGACCCGGCGUCACCUACACGCGCGGUCAACGCCGUCUGCAGUGCUCCCGUUGCCUGCAGUGCCUGGGCGAUGUUCUCGGCCUCGACGUGGCCGUGCAGCUUCAUGCGGAUGCCCUGCGUGUGCUGCAAUGGGACAAAGACAAACCAAUACAGUUUGCAGAGAUCUUUGGCCACGUGACCGUCACGCAGUUGAUGCUACGAUUGCUCCACGAUGCUGAACCAGUCAAUCUGGAGAAAACACGAAUCUUCUUGAGGGCUCUACGUCCGGAUGGACAGUUGCAAUACCUGCAGCUUCUAGUAGACAAACGGCAAGUCCAACUCCUGCGAUCCCCGCUAGCUCCCGAAAAUGAGAGUCUGCCGAGACGCAGGGUUGCUUCGGAAACGGAGUCCAGCAGCGAGAGUGACUUCGACAUAAGUAGCUCGGACAGGAGCAAUCCCGCCUUUAGCCCAACUCCAGGCGAUGAGGAGAUUGUUCGUCCGGUUGCAAAGAGAAAGAUAGUCAGGGAGCGUCCCGUAAAGGUUGUGAAAUAUGUGGGGAUUCGAGGCUACCGCGCCUGCCGCCUCAAGUAUCUCUUCUCUGGCAACGACCGCGAGCUCUCCGACAACCAUGAGCUCAUCCUACAGUGGCGCGAAGAAGGAUGCCGCCUGCUUCGCGUCUCCUAUUCCAUGAUGGCCGAAAUACUGGCCGAACUCAAUGCCAAUGAGCACAUUGUGGCCGCCCUGGAGAAGCUUCCGCCACCAGUCAAGACAGAUCAGCCCCGACUCAGCUAUAUAAUAUAUGAAACUGACGACGAGUUCUACGGCAAGCAAAAAAAGGGGACACUCAAAAAACGAAACGACAAUUCUCGGUAUCAUAGCGUUUCCAUUAAUUGAAGUCGCCUGCAGCAAUUAACAACUUACCAGAGCGGCUCAUGUAUGCAAAAUCCAUUAAAUCACUUAAAAAGAGAGGAGAAGAACACAUUUGAAACCACUUCAGAGCAAAUGACACAUAAUACGACUACAAAACAGUUGCGCCAGAUCUCCGCAGGAGUUGGGAAAUUCGCAGGACACACACACACUUGGCAGCUGGGACCGCCCUUUCCGAUGUCGAUGAUAAUGUAACAACACUCAACCUCUUGGCAAGCCCAGAGAAAAAAAAGCCAUAGGAUAUAUAAAGGAAAUCAAAAGAACCAGGUAAUAAAUAAAGAUGAAACCAUGAUGACGGAAGCUAUAAUAAUCCGAAAUAAUACAGAAGCGAUAUCCUUAUAGUUAAAAAAAAUCAAAGUUGAUUAAAUGCUAUUAAAAUUUGCAAAAAAA